UCAGGAUGAACGCUAGCUACAGGCUUAACACAUGCAAGUCGAGGGGCAGCAUUGGAGUAGCAAUACUCAGAUGGCGACCGGCGCACGGGUGAGUAACACGUAUCCAACCUGCCGCUUACUCGGGGAUAGCCUUUCGAAAGAAAGAUUAAUACCCGAUGGUAUAAAGAGUUCGCAUGUUCUCUUUAUUAAAGAAUUUCGGUAAGCGAUGGGGAUGCGUUCCAUUAGAUAGUUGGCGGGGUAACGGCCCACCAAGUCUACGAUGGAUAGGGGUUCUGAGAGGAAGGUCCCCCACAUUGGAACUGAGACACGGUCCAAACUCCUACGGGAGGCAGCAGUGAGGAAUAUUGGUCAAUGGACGAGAGUCUGAACCAGCCAAAAGUAGCGUGAAGGAUGACUGCCCUAGUGGGUUAGUAAACUUUCUUUUAUAAGGGAAUAAAGUGAGGGACGUGUCCCUUUUUGUAUGUACCUUAUGAAUAAGGAUCGGCUAACUCCGUGCCAGCCGCGGC
rnacentral:rRNA from 1 species